rnacentral:rRNA from 1 species
UACAGAGGGUGCGCGCGUUAAUCGGAAUUACUGGGCGUAAAGCGUGCGUAGACGGUUGCGUAAGUCAGAUGUGAAAGCCCCGGGCUCAACCUGGGAAUUGCAUUUGAGACUGCGUAGCUAGGGUGCGGAAGAGGGAAGCGGAAUUUCCGGUGUAGCGGUGAAAUGCGUAGAUAUCGGAAGGAACACCAGUGGCGAAAGCGGCUUCCUGGUCCAGCACCGACGUUCAGGCACGAAAGCGUGGGGAGCAAACAGG